UACAGAGGUCUCAAGCGUUGUUCGGAUUCAUUGGGCGUAAAGGGUGCGUAGGUGGCGCCGUAAGUGGGGUGUGAAAUUUCGGAGCUUAACUCCGAAACUGCAUUCCAUACUGCGGUGCUUGAGGACUGGAGAGGAGACUGGAAUUCAUGGUGUAGCAGUGAAAUGCGUAGAGAUCAUGAGGAAGACCAGUGGCGAAGGCGGGUCUCUGGACAGUUCCUGACACUGAGGCACGAAGGCCAGGGGAGCAAACGGG
rnacentral:rRNA from 1 species